UUGGAUGCCAUCCUCCUCUAGUCCUCCUCCAGAAGAGUGUAGUCCUGCUGAAAGAGCGUGGUCGGAACUGGCAUUUGUGGUGUUUAUCUGUGUUAUGACACUCGGGUUGGGAAAAGUUGUGGAGGUUUUCUUCUUUACCAUGUCGUCCAUCAUUGGCCUCAUUGCAAUUUCCCAUCUUUUUUAUCCAACGCCUGACCAUAAAUUUGAAAU